rnacentral:rRNA from 1 species
GCUUGUCUCAAAGAUUAAGCCAUGCAUGUCUAAGUAUAAACUGCUUAUACUGUGAAACUGCGAAUGGCUCAUUAAAUCAGUUAUAGUUUAUUUGAUGGUACCUACUACUCGGAUAACCGUAGUAAUUCUAGAGCUAAUACGUGCGCACAACCCGACUUCUGGAAGGGUCGUAUUUAUUAGAUAAAAGGCCAGCCGGGCUUUGCCCGACCUGCGGUGAAUCAUGAUAACUUCACGAAUCGUAUGGCCUUGUGCCGACGAUGUUUCAUUCAAAUUUCUGCCCUAUCAGCUUUGGAUGGUAGGAUAUGGGCCUACCAUGGCAUUAACGGGUAACGGGGAAUUAGGGUUUGAUUCCGGAGAGGGAGCCUUAGAAACGGCUACCACAUCCAAGGAAGGCAGCAGG